CGGGAAAGGGCAGCAGGGAAAGGGCAGCAGGCACGGAGAACAGCAAGUGCAAAGCAGGGGUGGAGGCUGAGAGAAGGCCUGCAGCGGGCAUGGCUGGGAAGAAGCUGAGAGCUAUCAUGGUUGGAAGCUGUCCUGACUGAAGAACUGUCUCCUGUCUCCUGAGUUGUAGCCUGUUACUUCCUUAAUUAACUACAUAAUCUUAGGAGACUUCCGAUGCUACUAGAUAGCAAGAGGAAAGCAGAGCUGAAGAGUGGAGAGAAACAGGGUCUUAUCGUAUUUGAGCACCUAGAUCCAACUGCACCUGAAGCUGAUGUGCCAUGAACUUCUCAGUUAACAUGAUACAAUAAAUUCCAAUCUUGCUUAAGCCAGCUUGAGCUGUGUUUCUGUCAGUUGUAACCCAAAGCAUCCUGAUGAAUAGACUAUGGUCUCAUAGCUAAUAGUAGUGGAGAUGGGCUCUGAAAGCAAGACUCUUUAGCUCUAUCAGGCUCAACCUAGAAUUUUCUGGAAGUAAUUCUGGGGCUUAAUCCAGGAGCCAUCCUCUGAGUCCUGGCUCCCAGAUGGCAGCUGGGUUUGACCUUGCUCUCCUUCAAUGAUGGUGCAAGCAGGGAAGGUGCAAUUAAGUGGCCUUUAAAUCAAUCCACAUAAUUUCUGAGAACGUCACUCCCUGUUAAGAAACAAAACAGGCUUCCUGGGACUCAGGUCCCAGUGCAGUCCUUGACAAAGGACCCCAAGAAAUUCCCUGCAGACAGGGAAGGGACAUUCCCAUGGUCCCCUUUCCUGGGAGUCCUGCCCACUGGCUUCUUCCAGAGAGGCAGAUGCUUGGAUUCAAAGUUCAGCUCUGCCGGGCUGUGUGACCUUAGGCAAGCAGCUGAACCUGCCUGCUGGUGUCCUCUCUAAAAAAUGGGGAGAAUAAUAGUAUCCAUUUCUUGGGAUUAAAGUGAGGAGUAAAUGAGUUAAUUUGCACAAAGUGAUUAGAGCAGUGCCGGUAAGGACUGUUAUUGUUCCCAAUGCUGGCUCCUCCUCUUUCAGGUCUCAGACAAAUGUCCCCCUCGGGGAGACUCCCCCCUACAGAAUGCGAAGCAGCCACCUUUUCAAUCUGUCUCCAUCACAGCACAGCUUUGUUUUUUUAAGGGCAUCUUCCCCAUAUCCGCACCUUUGUCUUUUGGUUUCUUUUUCUAUUUUUUGAACCAGGCUGUAAGCUUCACGGAAGGGCGGAAACCUUCCCGACGUUAACUGCCGUUUCCCCAGCACCUAGCCCCCUGCCAGGCACACUGUAGGUGCUCAAAAACUACUGGCUUGAAUAAAGGACACCAGCGCACAGCAGGGGCCACUCCCAUCCCAGGGUCUGCCACGCUACCACGACUUACUGGCGGAGGAGGGAGGUGGGUAGCCUGAAUGUGAACAUUUUCUCCGCCUUUACAACUUCCCAGUAUAAUUUCAUGUCGCACAACUCGAGGCUCCCUGGACAAGGCCACAGCCCCGAAACGGUGGCCUUCUCAGAUCUGCCUUCGGGGAGGAAGGAUGGGGGUGGCCCGCGGGAGGCCAGUGCCAAGGGCGUCCUGAAGUCCCUCCCGCCGCCCUGCGUCGCUUUAAGGCGGAGGCCCGGGAGCGGGCCGACCCCGCCCGCCCGCCGGCUCCACACUCCGCUACAGACUUCGGCAUUUCCUCCCCGCUAGCUGGCGUGGCCUCGCCUCGCCUCCCCUCGGAAGAGGAAACUCCCGGGGCCCAAGUAACGGGAACGAGCACGGAGAGGAGCCGCGGAGAGUUCAGGGCCCGUGGUGCCAGGCGGGGCGUCCAGGGUAGGCAG